AAAUUCUUUGCUUACCGCGAAACUUUUUCGCAUCGGUUGCUUUCGGAUGUAAUAAAUGCGGAUCCGAUUCAGAGGAAAAAUUAACUGGAUGAAUUUGUUUAUUGCAAGUUUUGUGGGCGUAAUUGCCUCUACAUAUAUCACGUACCCUCUAAUGGUUCAGCAUCGAGAUGAAAAGAAGAAAAAUUUGGUUACGGGCUCCUAAAAAUAGAUACUUUUUAUAUGACUUUGAUCUUGAAGGUAUGACUGCACUCAAUUUAGAACGCAAGCUGAUGAUAUUCAGGUAUUGAAGAAUUGUAAUAUCACUACUUAUGCUUUCCUGCUGUAAAGAAAUCAUUAAAAAGAAUUUUCUGUGACAAAUUUUAGUUAUUAAGGUACACUCAAUGAACAAAGUAUAUUUUCUAUAUUUGCAUAUAUAAAUAGCCACAUGUGAAUAAUAUUUAUCUUUAUUGUAUGGAUGAAUAGUGAUAAGCUGCUUUAUUUUGAAAAGAAAAUAAAUUAUGAUAAAAAUAAAUUUCUGGUACAACUUCAUUCUAGUUAAGUUGUAAUAUAUUUAUUAUGUUUUUCAUCUGCUGUUCUAGGUCAAAAGAGUUUUUAGUUCCUCCUUUCUUUCCAUUUUUAAUAUAAUACAAGCUUUUUGUAGUAAUCUUUGGUACUUACGUAUUAUCGCAACCAGGUUGGCGUGAUUUGUAAGUUUGAGUAAAAAAGUAUGAAUAGAAAGAAAAUGGUACAUUUAUUAAUUACAGAUAAUUUUAAUACAGUUUUUUAUAUUAUUUUGUUUUAAAAUAUAAAAUAGCAAUUAAACCCGAAAAUGUAUUGCCGGACAAAAUAUCUUAGACAAUCAAAUAUUUUAAAAGAAAUGUUAUUUAAUUGACAAAUACUUUUCUGUUGUUGAGGCAGGAUUAAAAAAUGCAUACAUGCAUUUCUGAAUCUAGUUCCAAUAACACAAAAGUACCAAUUGACAUAAGAUAUAUAAUAUAAUUAUUUUUUUAAUUUGGUAAGCAUGUUAUAUAGUAUUGCUAAUCAAUAAGCUUUUGUGCACAUUUGGACAUAAAAAUUGUAAUUGAAUAAAAAUCGAUUGUAAAAAAAA
rnacentral:lncRNA from 1 species